AUGGACUCAUUUUUCACCCUCUUAUUCCUCUUAGCCACCCAUUCCUGUGUUCUUGCCCAAAUCCAGCUGGUCCAGUCCAGCCCGGGAGCGGUGAAGCCCGGAGAGACCCUCACCGUGACCUGUGCAGUCUCGGGUCAGUCCAUCACUAGUGGUCAUGGCUGGCACUGGGUCCGGCAGCCUCCCGGGAAAGGGCUGGAGUGGCUGGGACGGAGAUUUUACAGCAGUUCCUCCUGGUACACAAACUACAGCUCAUCUUUCCAGAGCCGAAUCACCAUCUCCCCUGACUCCUCCAAGAACCGGUUCUCCCUGCAGCUGGCCUCCCUGGGAGCUGCGGACACCGCCACGUAUUACUGCGCCAGGCAGACACAGUGA